UACAGAGGUCUCAAGCGUUGUUCGGAUUCAUUGGGCGUAAAGGGUGCGUAGGCGGCGCGGUAAGUCGGGUGUGAAAUCUCGGAGCUUAACUCCGAAACUGCAUUCGAUACUGCCGUGCUUGAGGACUGGAGAGGAGACUGGAAUUUACGGUGUAGCGGUGAAAUGCGUAGAUAUCGUAAGGAAGACCAGUGGCGAAGGCGGUCUCUGGACAGUUCCUGACGCUGAGGCACGAAGGCCAGGGAGCAAACGGG
rnacentral:rRNA from 1 species